GACGAACGCUGGCGGCGUGCUUAACACAUGCAAGUCGAACGGAAAGGCCUCUUUCGGGGGGUACUCGAGUGGCGAGCGGGUGAGUAACACGUGAGUAACCUGCCCUUGACUUUGGGAUAACUUCAGGAAACUGGGGCUAAUACCGGAUAGGAGCUCCUGCUGCAUGGUGGGGGUUGGAAAGUUUCGGCGGUUGGGGAUGGACUCGCGGCUUAUCAGCUUGUUGGUGGGGUGGUGGCUUACCAAGGCUUUGACGGGUAGCCGGCCUGAGAGGGUGACCGGCCACAUUGGGACUGAGAUACGGCCCAGACUCCUACGGGAGGCAGCAGUGGGGAAGAUUGCACAAUGGGUGGAAGCCUGAUGCAGCAACGCCGUGUGCGGGAUGACGGCCUUCGGGUUGUAAACCGCUUUCGCUCAUGACGAAGCUUUGUGUGACGGUAGUGGGUAAAGAAGCACCGGCUAACUACGUG
rnacentral:rRNA from 1 species